rnacentral:rRNA from 1 species
UGGGGAAUCUUCCGCAAUGGGCGAAAGCUUGACGGAGCAACGCCGCGUGAGUGAUGAAGGUCUUCGGAUCGUAAAACUCUGUUAUUAGGGAAGAACAAAUGUGUAAGUAACUAUGCACGUCUUGACGGUACCUAAUCAGAAAGCCACGGCUAACUACGUGCCAGCAGCCGCGGUAAUACGUAGGUGGCAAGCGUUAUCCGGAAUUAUUGGGCGUAAAGCGCGCGUAGGCGGUUUUUUAAGUCUGAUGUGAAAGCCCACGGCUCAACCGUGGAGGGUCAUUGGAAACUGGAAAACUUGAGUGCAGAAGAGGAAAGUGGAAUUCCAUGUGUAGCGGUGAAAUGCGCAGAGAUAUGGAGGAACACCAGUGGCGAAGGCGACUUUCUGGUCUGUAACUGACGCUGAUGUGCGAAAGCGUGGGGAUCAAACAGG